CGUUCAGAGAUUGCCUCUGUCGUUACUUACUCUAUGUAUGUGAUGGGAAUGCAGUUGCUGA
rnacentral:sRNA from 12 species